GCCUGGGUGGCUCGGUAGGUUGAGCGACUAACUUCGGCUCAGGUCAUGAUCUCAUGGUUUGUGAGUUCAAGCCCCACCUCAGGCU
rnacentral:tRNA from 1 species